AAAAGUCCAUAAUGACCGUUCUGUGCAAACGCAGCUUUAUCUACGAUUUUUAUAUAAACCUUUUUACCUCCCCUAUUACAGACUGGCCGAAUACAAAUUUCAAAUAAAUGUCAAAUAUUGUGGAAUAGAAGUCAAUAACGUAAAAAGAUGUCAAAUCAGGUCAGUUUUUAUAAAUCUAUCGUGUAGUUAACAGUAAACUUAAAAAUUAAGAAAAAAAAGUAGAAAAUACGCAUAAAGUCCUAAAAACAGUAUCUUCUAAGAAAAAUAUUUUACAAAUAUUUUAAACAGACAAUCUUUUGGACUACACAAUAUUAUUAUCAAUUGAUAAAACAUCAUCACCGACGGUGAAACCUUACCCAUUUCCUUUUGCAAUAGAUAAUUUGAACUACUGACGAAAAUGUGUGGUGGUUGCGGUGGAUGCGGUGGCUGCGGCCCUUGCGGCGGGUGCUGCGGCGGCUGCGGGCCGUGCUGCGGCGGCUGCUGCGGCGGCUGCUGCGGGCCGUGCUGCGGCGGCUGCUGCGGUGGAUGCUGCGGCUGCGGCUGUCCAAAGAUCACGAUCCACACCCGUUGUACGAAGAUCUGUUAAUUGUGAGGGACUGUGAGCAAACGAGCAACUACGUCAACACUACGAUACGACGUCAAGUCGUAGUGUUGGCCGAGUACCGUACUGCGUCUUACUCGUGCCGUCUACACAUUUGUGCUGUCAACUCAGUGAUGUUCAAAUAUAAUUUGGUUAAUUUACAA